GACGAACGCUGGCGGCGUGCCUAAUACAUGCAAGUUGAGCGCUGAAGGUUGGUACUUGUACCAACUGGAUGAGCAGCGAACGGGUGAGUAACGCGUGGGGAAUCUGCCUUUGAGCGGGGGACAACAUUGGGAAACGAAUGCUAAUACCGCAUAAAAACUUUAAACACAAGUUUUAAGUUUGAAAGAUGCAAUUGCAUCACUCAAAGAUGAUCCCGCGUUGUAUUAGCUAGUUGGUGAGGUAAAGGCUCACCAAGGCGAUGAUACAUAGCCGACCUGAGAGGGUGAUCGGCCACAUUGGGACUGAGACACGGCCCAAACUCCUACGGGAGGCAGCAGUAGGGAAUCUUCGGCAAUGGACGAAAGUCUGACCGAGCAACGCCGCGGGAGUGAAGAAGGGUUUCGGAUCGUAAAACUCUGUUGGUAGAGAAGAACGUUGGUGAGAGUGGAAAGCUCAUCAAGUGACGGUAACUACCCAGAAAGGGACGGCUAACUACGUG
rnacentral:rRNA from 1 species